rnacentral:lncRNA from 1 species
AUGUCAAACUGCCCUUGGCUACUAAUGCCGCCGAAGCCUCUUUCUUUUCAAAGUUUCUUUUUGACCCGUGGACCUUUUUAAAGUCUUUAUUGAGUUCGUUACACUAUUACCUCUGUUUUAUGUUUUGUUUUUUUAAUAGUCAAAAGGGACAAUAGUUUUAUUCAUUUAAAAAGACUGUUACUUGCUUAUACAUUGAUGUGGACCAAAAAUCAAGACUAUUUACAAAGGUAUUGUAAGUUGUCUUAUUUCUCUUUUCCACAUCUGACCCCCAUUUCAUGAAACAGAAAAGGAGGCUAUAAAUAGAUCAUGAAAAGAAGAACAAGAGCUGGAUCUCAUGAAGGUACAAGGUGACUCCCAGGGCUCGCCAGGCACCGCAGCGUGACGCGAGGCGAGCCGUGUCGUGUUCUCGGGGUGGAUUCUCCCGAAAGCCUCACAAGCACUGUGGCGGCUUCCUCUUUCUAGUUUCCAUUUGAAGACAGGGCGGAGUCCCCCUAACUUCUGUGACUGCACCCUUGCCUGCUGGACCUCUGCCAAUAUUGGAUAUUGAUUGUAUGUGAGAUCACUGCCCUACAAGAGUUCACAAUGUUUGAGAAUUCUUGCCAGAGCUUCUCGUAAAAAAAUUUCACAGAGAAAUGAAA